rnacentral:rRNA from 1 species
UACGGAGGGUGCGAGCGUUGUCCGGAAUCACUGGGCGUAAAGGGCGCGUAGGCGGCUUCUCAAGCGUGUGGUGAAAGUCCGGGGCUCAACCCCGGAUCGGCCGUGCGGACUGGGGAGCUCGAGUUCUGUAGAGGCGGGUGGAAUUCCGGGUGUAGCGGUGGAAUGCGUAGAGAUCCGGAAGAACACCGGUGGCGAAGGCGGCCCGCUGGGCAGAGACUGACGCUGAGGCGCGACAGCGUGGGAGCAAACGAG